GCUGACCCGCAAAAAGCCGCGGCCGCCCCGGACAACCCCCGCGCCGACCUCUACGGGAUUUAGAAGUAGGGCAGCUUCGGCGGUGUUCCUCCGCCGCUGUAUCCGCUGGGAAGAGAAGCUGCGGCCGUAACUUCAAACCACCUCACGCGAGGAAGAGAAGAAGGGUAACUACAGGGACAGUUGUUGCGUUGAAGCCGGCUCGCGAGGAUCCUCUACCUAAGUAGAUCUCUGGCCGAGGAUCGGGAUCGUCUCCUUAUAGGCCUCAUACUAUACCUCGACGACCCCGUGCAGGAGCUGUUGCUCUUAGAAGCUCAGUUCAUGUAGGGCCUCCGUUAUUUUCACGAGAAGCUCUGCGGCAGGCCGAAACGCUAGAAGCGGUAGCUGAGACCGAUGGAGAUACUGUUGCUGUCCCUGAAGUGACCGUAACUGUGCUAGACCCAAGUGACACAGUUCUUCCUUAGACGCCUGAAAAAAGAGACCGGUUUCCCUAAGGAUUUCGAACUGUUCCGCUGGUUCCGGUAUCGGUAAUUAAGACUACCAUAAGUAUUUUCGGAACGACUUAAAUAGCUCGUCUUCCAACCCUACCUCCUAUAUGAUAACCAGCCACUUAGACGUAUGCAUCUUCAAUAACUUCGUGUGCACCCUCAAUGUACAUCUACGCUACGAUUACGUUAACUCGACUACACCCCGGACGUUUUGGAUAACGUACUAAAUCACGGACUUCUCCUUAGCCUCAAGCCUUUCUUACUGGCGUUCAUGAUAUCAGUUUUUAAUGAACGGAUGGACGCAGUGUAACUGUUACUCCAGUCCGGACUUUACUAGUUACCUCUCUAACGAAAUAACCGAAGGUAGUAUGUGGCAACAUUACAAUGGUUGUUCUUAAUGGCGCUGUUGUACGUAUUCGAACUAUUCCAAGAAAUGUUCUCUAGACCGGAGUCCUGACUGGUUACCCUGUGACACUGCGUACGAUGUCGAGAUCGAUUUAACUAACCUCUUAGACAUGGGUAGGGACUUUCAUACAAGUCAAGACAGCUUUUCCCUUGAGAUUGAUCAUUAGAUCAGCUAAUGUCACUACUCUAACUGUUCCUGUGAUAUUUUCAUUAUAUGCUCGUACACCAUGUUGAAUUAUUUGAAUUCAAAAGUUGCGACGUGUUCGAGUUCUAAGAAGAAACGCUACGAUUUCGUCGUCAGAACGCCCUCGGAGCCCUCAGACUUCUCUACAACCAACUCCACGGUGUUCACAAGUCAAGGUUCUCCUCAACGGUCCUCCUCCGACUUACACUGGCCGUCUUAUUCUCAGAGUUCCAAUUGCUGCCACUGUCACUACACCAGGUUUCACUACGUUAAUACCUACGUUUUUGCUUAAUCAAAGUGAAACGACUGGAUACUUACUUACACGAGUUCAGUCAAGGAAUAAUAAAACGCGACUGGAUAAUUACUUACACGAGCUCAUUCAAGGAAUAAAACGCGAUAGUUGUUUAAACCUUGUCAGGUUUGACUUGACAGUACAUGAAACAAUUAAUCAAAGAAUGGUUACGAACGAACAUUGGUUUUGGUGAGAAUUGAUAACCCAAAAGAAGACCAUAGCUAAAUUAACCUUAAAACCUGAUUUUAAGGUCAAAAUGAGGACACUUUACAAGUUAAUGAAAA
rnacentral:rRNA from 1 species